GAUUGUCCUUGUGCUUGGGCACUC
rnacentral:siRNA from 1 species